rnacentral:lncRNA from 1 species
GAUCGAAUAGAGCUUUCACACAGUUGCUCACACGGAGAGGAUUUACAUGUUUAUGGACAUUAUCUUCUCCAGUCGCCUUUACAAAGCAGACAUGAACGUUUCAAACUGCAUUUAAAUCUGACCGGCUAGCUCGCGCUCACUUACCCAGGACUAAUGUCUCCAUCUAUUUAGCUACUAAAGCCAAACUGAAGCUGUAAAAAUACUUGAGAACCUGACCUCAUCAUAAAGGGAGCGUCUCUGUUUGUUUUCUCCUUCACAGAAGAAGCGACGUCUCAGUCCCAGCAGAGAUAGUCCUGCCACAUUUUGGGGUCACUAACAGAGGGCUCACAGCCCACCCAGAAUGCAACUCACUGGCCUGUGAAAGCUGUGAAUCAACCUGUUGUCAUCAAAGGUAAUAAUUACAUGAUAGGUUUAUUUCAGAAAGUAUUUCCAAAGGAGCAUGAGGGUGCCACGGUGACAGAUGAAAGGUAAACAUCAACAACUGGAAAACAAAAAGAUGAGCUAAUGUAUCAGUUAUACCUCGCCGUGGGUUUUGGCGUCUCAAUGGGAAAAUGAAAUAAAACUUUGUUCUGUGAGUGGCA